rfam:Toxocara canis scaffold1124, whole genome shotgun sequence.
GCGAUAGUAGCUCAGUGGUAGAACCCCCGCUUCGCAUGCGGGGAGACCUGGGUUCGAUUCCCGGCUGCUUCC